CUAGAGAAAAGAACGUGGCUCUUCACUCUUGUCCUCUCUUCUUCUCUUCUUCCUUCAGUGGUAAUAUGCAAAUUGGGAAUUAAAGCAAUAAGAAUUUUCUUGAAGAGAAGUGUUUGUGAUCUAAAUUGGUAGACAACUAUUAUUUUUUGUUCAAAAGUUGUGGAAAUUCAUCAAGAACUCAAGUUGGGUUGAUUUCAAAUAGGAUGUUUGAAGGGAUUUGAUGACUAUGUGAGGGAUGCAACUUUGCUGGUUUAAUUGUUGAAGACUUGUGAUACUAUCUUUAGUUUGGAAAGAAUCCAAGAAGAUCAAGUUUACAGGGCAAAAGACAUCCAUGUUAGGUUCUUUUGUCGACUUCAAUUGGUGUUUUGAAGAGCUCAAUCUCUAUACAGAUCCAACUUAUGUCUAGCACUUUUGAUUAUAUGUACAAGUUGCUAUUGGUUACAUCGAGGUCUAUCUCGACAAGGUAUGGCAGUACAAUGUAUUAAAUCUACUAGACGCUUCCUAGACAUUGUGAUGUGUAUCAUGUUGUGCAAUUUUUAGCCCAACAACUUUAUAGCCUAUAUUUGUAACAUGUGUUGGUUAUAUUCCGCUCAUUUAUUAGCUUAUUUUUAGAGCAAGUGUUCAUACGACUCUUGUCCUUGCUCUUUUUUGGGGCGUGACAAUUGUAGAUUACAACAAUACAUACUAACUUAUAAUCAUCACAAAACUCAUCAUAUCCAAAACCAUAUCUAAAAUGGAUAUUACUCGUCAAUCAUUGUAUAGACUGAGAGAAUUUGUUGUACUUUUAAUUGUUGGAUGCCUUAAAAUAAAGUCUCUUAUCCCACCGCCCAGACAAAACAAUCUAUUGAUAAACCCUACAAUAAAAAAGAUAUACUGGAAUUUUCCAUGGGACAAUUCAAGUCAUUUGUCUCAAUAACAUAGUUAUUAUAGAAUAAAGAGUUAAAAGAACAGUCCUGAAGAUUGUUAUUAGCCAUAUCCAAUUUCAUCAUGACCCUAUGGUAAGUACACUUCUUGUUAUCAACAAAUACCCUGAGAUGAUCCUUGAUGAAUUCAAGGCUAGAUAUUAAAGAAAGAUAAGAUUUCAAAACAAACCUAAAUAACUAGAGAUAUUUCAUUGAAAGUCUAGAGAGCAUUUCAGUGAUAAGUUCUGUUGGAAGACAAGGAAUUGUCAAGAUUGAAUAUUUUAUUGAAGUUGAUUAAAGUUCAGCAAAGUUUGUAUGUUUGCUCCUAUUUGGGGUUUAUGAGAGGCUUCAGAUGCCAUUUGGAUAUUAGAAAUAUUGCACCAAAGUUGAUGGAAAUUAACAAUGGUGGUUAAUUGGUUUGCUCUGUUUUUUGUUUAAUGGAUGUUAAUAUUUCCCUCAGAUUCCAUUUCGAUUGCAGAAACUUUUCAGCUUUCAGAGAAGGUUUGAUUUUCUUGCUUUUUAUGGAAGAUUCUUAAGUUUCCUACACGUUUUACUUGUUGAAUGAAUUACUCCAAAAUGAAACUUGUAGACUGAUGAUAUUGUUUUUGCAUGGAUUAGUAAUAUUUCUUUUUUAUGUAUUUCCAUUGAUUCAUUGACUUGAUUCUUAAGUCAAAUAGAGUUUCACUUGAAACAACAUAAGACCAGGGAUGUUAUCUG